rnacentral:rRNA from 1 species
UACGUAGGGGGCAAGCGUUGUCCGGAAUCAUUGGGCGUAAAGCGCGCGUAGGCGGCCCUGUAAGUCCGCUGUAAAAGUCAAAGGCUCAACCUUUGAAAGCCGGUGGAUACUGCAGGGCUAGAGUCCGGAAGAGGCGAGUGGAAUUCCUGGUGUAGCGGUGGAAUGCGCAGAUAUCAGGAGGAACACCAAUGGCGAAGGCAGCUCUCUGGACUGUAACUGACGCUGAGGCGCGAAAGCGUGGGUAGCAAACAGG